rnacentral:rRNA from 1 species
UACGUAGGUGGCAAGCGUUAUCCGGAAUUAUUGGGCGUAAAGCGCGCGCAGGCGGUUUCUUAAGUCUGAUGUGAAAGCCCACGGCUCAACCGUGGAGGGUCAUUGGAAACUGGGGAACUUGAGUGCAGAAGAGAAAAGCGGAAUUCCACGUGUAGCGGUGAAAUGCGUAGAUAUUGGGAGGAACACCAGUGGCGAAGGCGGCUCACUGGACCGGAACUGACGCUGAGGCGCGAAAGCGUGGGGAGCAAACAGG